rnacentral:rRNA from 1 species
GCAGUCGAGCGGAUGACGGGAGCUUGCUCCUUGAUUCAGCGGCGGACGGGUGAGUAAUGCCUAGGAAUCUGCCUGGUAGUGGGGGACAACGUUUCGAAAGGAACGCUAAUACCGCAUACGUCCUACGGGAGAAAGCAGGGGACCUUCGGGCCUUGCGCUAUCAGAUGAGCCUAGGUCGGAUUAGCUAGUUGGUGGGGUAAUGGCUCACCAAGGCGACGAUCCGUAACUGGUCUGAGAGGAUGAUCAGUCACACUGGAACUGAGACACGGUCCAGACUCCUACGGGAGGCAGCAGUGGGGAAUAUUGGACAAUGGGCGAAAGCCUGAUCCAGCCAUGCCGCGUGUGUGAAGAAGGUCUUCGGAUUGUAAAGCACUUUAAGUUGGGAGGAAGGGCAGUAAGCUAAUACCUUGCUGUUUUGACGUUACCGACAGAAUAAGCACCGGCUAACUCUGUGCCAGCAGCCGCGGUAAUACAGAGGGUGCAAGCGUUAAUCGGAAUUACUGGGCGUAAAGCGCGCGUAGGUGGUUCGUUAAGUUGGAUGUGAAAGCCCCGGGCUCAACCUGGGAACUGCAUCCAAAACUGGCGAGCUAGAGUACGGUAGAGGGUGGUGGAAUUUCCUGUGUAGCGGUGAAAUGCGUAGAUAUAGGAA